GAAAGAUAUGUCCUCUGUCCACCAAUCCUUUGGAACCGAUUGAUGGCGCUUUUUCUCAUACCCCGGUCUAGUGUAAGUAUAAGACCAUGUAACCUGCAGGUGGUUUUCUCCGCAUUAAACUUAAAUGUUUCAGAAAAAACAUGGAGUUAAAUAUAGUAUCUAGUACGUCUAACCUUCGCUGGAGGUAACAGGAUCUUUUCAACUAAGGAUUCAAUGCACCUUCUAACUAUCCCAAGAUUUUCUGACCACUCAAACAAUCUUCCAGUGUUUUGCAGUGUGACAAUGGAGUCCUUCCAACCUUCUAGAAUGCAAGAUGAGAAGAAAACUUCCAAUCUCUUGACAAAGUUCAUCUUUUCAACUGCUUCAGACAUUUGAAGGAAGUUGGAGGCACAAAAAGCAGGAAUAUCUUGCAGCACAAGGGUGAUGUUGCUAGAAUUUUCUUCUUCUGACUCUGAGCAAAGCUGUUGUAGUAGGCCACUCUUUGGAAGAAGAGGAUACUACAGUUCACAACAGAAUGAGGAAAGAUCUGAGUGAUUUUGUCUAAAGAUAGGGCUAUGCCUCAGUACUGCCUCAAUGGAAAAGCAGCGACUACUUGACAAGAAAGGGAGAAGGUUUGAUGGUAGGUUUUGCUGACAUUCAUGUCGGCCACGUGUCUUGUCAUAUACCGUUUGAUUCAUUUGCAGACAUGAAAUCUUGAUUGGACUGGACUUUGUUCGUUGUUCCAGAGAACAAGCUUAGAUCAGUUUUUCCUCCUUUGUCAACGUUUGCUCAUCAACCGAAGAUUCUUUUCUAGACUUGGGUUUAAGGGUUUUAUUUUCUUUCCGUUUAAGUGCGAUUAUAACAAAAUGCAUAAAUUCAUCAUUUAGAACUAUUAUACAUAACUUUGCAAAUUAUUUAUAUGACUUGUAAUCA